CCCGCCUUAGCUCAACGGUAGAGCACCCCGCUGUAGACGGGGUGGUUGCAGGUUCAAAUCCAGCAGGCGGGA
rnacentral:tRNA from 1 species